CUACGGGUGGCUGCAGGUACGAAUUUUCUACAAUACGCGAAAGCGUGAUAGGGGGAUCUAAAGUGCUCAUGCAUUAGCAUGGGCUUUUGCCAAGCGUAAAUAACUUGGCGAAUAAGUGGUGGGUAAGACAGGUGCCAGCAGCCGCGGUAACACCUGCGCCACGAGUGGCAAUCAGCAUUACUGGGUCUAAAGCGUCCGUAGCCGGUUUGGUAAAUCUUUUGUGAAAUCGUUGAGCUCAACUUAACGGCGUGCAAAAGAGACUGCCUGACUAGGGACCAGGAGAGGUAAGAGGUAUUCUGGGGGUAGCGGUAGAAUGCGAUAAUCCCCGGAGGACCACCGAUGGCGAAGGCAUCUUACUAGAAUGGGUCCGACGGUGAGGGACGAAAGCCAGGGGAGCAAAACGGAUUAGAUACCCCGGUAGUC
rnacentral:rRNA from 1 species